rnacentral:rRNA from 1 species
CCUACGGGAGGCAGCAGUGAGGAAUAUUGGUCAAUGGACGAGAGUCUGAACCAGCCAAGUAGCGUGAAGGAUGACUGCCCUAUGGGUUGUAAACUUCUUUUAUAUGGGAAUAAAAUGUUCCACGUGUGGGAUUUUGUAUGUACCAUAUGAAUAAGGAUCGGCUAACUCCGUGCCAGCAGCCGCGGUAAUACGGAGGAUCCGAGCGUUAUCCGGAUUUAUUGGGUUUAAAGGGAGCGUAGGUGGAUUGUUAAGUCAGUUGUGAAAGUUUGCGGCUCAACCGUAAAAUUGCAGUUGAAACUGGCAGUCUUGAGUACAGUAGAGGUGGGCGGAAUUCGUGGUGUAGCGGUGAAAUGCUUAGAGAUGACGAAGAACUCCGAUUGCGAAGGCAGUUCACUGGACUGCAACUGACACUGAGGCUCGAAAGUGUGGGUAUCAAACAGGAUUAGAUACCCCUGUAGUC